AUGGAACGCAGCGUUUGUGAUGCGUAACCAUGUGUGUGCUGUUCCAUGUUGAAGUCCGGUCCUUCCUGGUCGUUUCAGGGCUGCAGAAGGUUCACUUGAAGGCCUUGGACGGGCAGCGGUACUCCACCCUGGAGAGGCAGUGCUUGCAGAGUGGCCUGCUCUUUGAGACCCCCGCUUCCCCGCCAUCGACCACUCGCCGUUCCACCACGCCAACAGGAUGGGACGCGUGGUGUGGAAGAGGCCUCGAUGACGAUGAAAGCUCUUGGGACAAAACGUCCUCAUCCAAAGGGCGCAUCCCAAAGAAGAGGGUCCGACGCCGUCAGAGACUUGACACCGGCGUCAGAGCGCCAUUGCUCGCCCGAUACGAAAGGCCCGAAAGCUCCGGGCAGCGUGUCAGCGUGACUCGAGCAAUGAGGAAAGACCAAGAGGAAAGGAAGCACAAUCAGAGGAGGCGAGAAGAGGAUUAGCGUUUUGUUUACGCUAAUUGUAGCCUCGGCUAUUUUGGUGUUCUCCUAGUCCGGUAGUAGUUAAGCGCUAUUUGGUGACUCUCUGG
ensembl:lncRNA